rnacentral:snRNA from 1 species
GGAUUUGAGGGCAGUCUGGCUUUGACUUGUGUGUCACCACAUUGAUUGCCGGGGUUGAUUCGGGUGAUCUCACUGGCUGGAAAGAUGUCCUCUUUCUCCUUCACACUCCCAUGUGUGUCACUGUCCUCUAAAGCUACCCCUAGAUACUGUUCCUCAGCCUACGUUAGCUGUUGUCACCUGCUACAACCUCCAGACAAAGCCAGGGUAUCAAAGCAUUGAUGAUUGGGUAGAAAUUCCAGUUAAAUAGCCUUCUG